rnacentral:lncRNA from 1 species
AAUCGAUAAAUAAUGCGACUUAUCAGAAAGAGAAAGAAUUGUUUACUUUUAAACCCUGGAUCCCAUAAAGGGAGAGGGGAGAGGCCUAAAGCCACAGAAGCUGUGGAAGGCGCCAUCCUGCCUGCCACAGGAAGGGCCUUGGACUGAGAGGACCGGAGCUGACUGGGGAUUAUUCAAAGCCAAAAGCCAACAGAGCCCCCAUGGAGAAGUGGAGGAUGCUCAGAUACUGCUAUGGAGCCCUGAGAAGUGAAAUGGGUCCAAGCCCUUGCCCAGGAUAGAGCGCUCCAAGCGCAUCCUCCGGGGACCCUUUUAAUCAGUGAAUUGUUCACCUCUCACUGUUUCUUCCCAGCAGAGCUAAGAGACUUCUAGAGCCUCUUGUGGAUGGUCAGCGAUAGCCCUGAUUGAACAUUUGAGCAAGACCAGAUGCCUUUAUAUCCAAUAGAUGCCACGGAGAGUAGAUCACAACACAUCUAACUGCUGUAUCCCCAUAUAAAAUAAUUUUAAUUUUCCUAGACUGCAGAAUUGAUCACAUUUACUGAUGAUGGAUUGGGAAGUAGGUGAAGAGGUGAGAGUUGGAGAGUAUCCAUUCAUUCGGCCAGAUUAUUCUCAUUUAUAAUGUAGUCUUCCAAUAAGUAUUUAUUUCCAGAAAUCUAUUCCCUCUAGAGAUUCUUUCUCUCUCAGCCAUUUUAGAAAAUUGUUGCAAACAGAGUUCCUGUCCAUUUUCACAGGAAGUUUUUGCAGAAGGGGUUUGCUGGGUGGCAGUGGAACACAGGCAGUGGACCCCUCUACUACUCUACUGUUCCAGAACACAGAAGCCUUUCAUUGAGAGUGUUCAGCUCUUCCCAUUGCUCAAGAUGCUUGUACCCGUGAUGCUUCUUUUCUCUGCUUAGGUCACAAUAUGUGGAGCUGACAAGGUUCCCCUAUUAUCAGUGACAAUGGUGGAAUGUGGAGGUGAAGUUAACACCUUCGUGGCUACAGAGUUUCCUUAGCAGAGCUGUGGAGUGUGACAAUGGUGUUUGUGUCUAAACUAUCAAACGCCAUUAUCACACUAAAUAGCUACUGCUAGGCAAUCCUUCCCUCGAUAAAUGUCUUGGCAUCGUUUGCUUUGAGCAAGAAGGUUCAUCUGAUAUCAGUCUUCUCAAUCUUGUGUACUUACUGAAUAAAGUCUGGCUCUUUUGCACUCAUAACCAAUAUGGUUAGCUGAACCCUGCCUCUCACAUGCUGUUGUUACAUACCUUAGCUGGUGAUUAAUUUUCUUGUUUUCCCAAGUCAAUAAAAAGAUUGCAGACCAGGCACGGUGGCUCACGCCUGAAAUCCCAGCACUUUGGGAGGCCAAGGCAGGCGGAUCACUUGAGCUCAGGAGUUCAAGUCCAGCCUGGGCAGCAUGGUGAAACCGUGUCUCUACAAAAACUACAAAAAUUAGCCAGGCAUGGUGGCAUGUGCCUGUAAUCUCAGCUACUUGAGAGGCUGAGGUGGGAGGAUCAAUUGAGCCCACGAGGUUGAGGCUGUAGUGAGCUGUGAUGGUACCACUGCACUCCAGCCUGUGUGACAGAGCAAGAUCCUGUCUCAAAAAAUGAAAAUAAAAAGAUUGCAGAGUUCCUCAGAGCCCCCAACACAAGGCCAGGCACGAGGUAAUCAUUUAACCCAUGCUUAUAGACUUAAAAUGAAUAGUUAGGAAAGUGUUAGACGCAGAAGGCUAAGACUGGGCUAAAUCUAUGUUAUGCAGACAGACCGCAAGCUUAUAGGUACAAAAUUAAGGUGUGUGGGUCCUUCUCUUUUCGUCGUUAAAAAAUCCAACUUUCUAAUAAACUUACACAUGGUUUCACUGACGUUUCAGAAAUUCUAGAAUAUGUUUGAUUUCUACUGAUUUCAAUCAAUUACUAGGCUGAUUACUGAAUUCGUACACUAGGCCUUUCUUCCUCUUGCAUCAGUGAAUUACCAUCAGAAAAUUGUUUAUGAAGCAUGUGUGAGCUGCCAUAGCAAAUCUGGGACCCAUGCAGUUUCUAGGACAGUUGGCCCAGCCAGGUGCUCUGGUUUGGAACCCAUUCUGUCUCUGAGAGGUGUCUAAAGUCAGGAGUAGGUUUCGUUUGUGCCAGACUAAAGCUUCCCUCCCCAGGCUUGGUUAAAUGAAGUAGGACAUGUUUAAUCAAAUAGACAGGGUUAGAUCAACCAUCAGAAACAAAUUCAACCAUUCAACCAUUCACUUAUGAAAUAAAUAUGUGUAGAGACUACCGUGUGCCUGACACUGUCCUAGGCAUUGAAGACACUUUUAAAUUAAAUGUGUCUGAUGUUAUUUCCAGAGAUGGGCAUUCACUGGCUCGCAUUAUAUUUUGGGACCAU